rnacentral:rRNA from 1 species
CAGUCGCCACGGUAACACGAGGGGAGCUAGCGUUGUUCGGAAUUACUGGGCGUAAAGCGCGCGUAGGCGGCUUUUUAAGUCAGAGGUGAAAGCCCGGGGCUCAACCCCGGAAUUGCCUUUGAAACUGGAAAGCUAGAAUCUUGGAGAGGUCAGUGGAAUUCCGAGUGUAGAGGUGAAAUUCGUAGAUAUUCGGAAGAACACCAGUAGCGAAGGCGACUGACUGGACAAGUAUUGACGCUGAGGUGCGAAAGCGUGGGGAGCAAACAGGAUUAGAUACCCGCGUAGUCCCUGUCUCUUAUAC